GGGGAAUAUUGCGCAAUGGGGGAAACCCUGACGCAGCGACGCCGCGUGAGUGAUGAAGGCCCUCGGGUCGUAAAGCUCUGUCGUAAGGGAAGAACUGGUUGCAGGUUAAUACCCUGUAGCCUUGACGGUACCU
rnacentral:rRNA from 1 species